AUUGAACGCUGGCGGCAGGCCUAACACAUGCAAGUCGAACGAGCGGCGGACGGGUGAGUAAUGUAUGGGGAACUGCCCGAUAGAGGGGGAUAACUACUGGAAACGGUGGCUAAUACCGCAUACCAUCGGAUGUACCCAUAUGGGAUUAGCUAGUAGGUGGGGUAACGGCUCACCAAGGCGACGAUCUCUAGCUGGUCUGAGAGGAUGAUCAGCCACACUGGGACUGAGACACGGCCCAGACUCCUACGGUAGGCAGCAGUGGGGAAUAUUGCACAAUGGGCGCAAGCCUGAUGCAGCCAUGCCGCGUGUAUGAAGAAGGCCUUCGGGUUGUAAAGUACUUUCAGCGGGGAGGCGUUACCCGCAGAAGAAGCACCGGCUAACUCCGUGCCAGCAGCCGCGGUAAUUC
rnacentral:rRNA from 1 species